rnacentral:rRNA from 1 species
GACGAACGCUGGCGGCGUGCUUAACACAUGCCAGUCGAACGAAGAGCGAUGGAAGCUUGCUUCUAUCAAUCUUAGUGGCGCACGGGUGAGUAACGCGUAAUCAACCUGCCCUUCAGAGGGGGACAACAGUUGGAAACGACUGCUAAUACCGCAUACGAUCUAAUCUCGGCAUCGAGGAUAGAUGAAAGGUGGCCUCUACAUGUAAGCUAUCACUGAAGGAGGGGAUUGCGUCUGAUUAGCUAGUUGGAGGGGUAACGGCCCACCAAGGCGAUGAUCAGUAGCCGGUCUGAGAGGAUGAACGGCCACAUUGGGACUGAGACACGGCCCAGACUCCUACGGGAGGCAGCAGUGGGGAAUCUUCCGCAAUGGACGAAAGUCUGACGGAGCAACGCCGCGUGAGUGAUGACGGCCUUCGGGUUGUAAAGCUCUGUUAAUCGGGACGAAAGGCCUUCUUGCGAAUAGUGAGAAGGAUUGACGGUACCGGAAUAGAAAGCCACGGCUAACUACGUG